AGAUGAUGGCAUCUCUCAUAUUAUCAGGAAUACCACUCCUAGGAAAUAAGACUGGUACCUCCUUUUGGAAUUUUGGAAACUCUUUCAUGAUAUCCUUAGUCAUCAUAUCCACGAUAGAACUGCUGGUGGACAGAUGUUCUGUGUUGUCUUUGCUGCAAUUGGAAUCCCUCUAACUUCAUAUGCUUUAGUAGUAGUGGUAAAUUAAUUUCUCUGCUAUUUGAAAACCUUGGAAACUACCUUAAAUAAGGGAAUAAAUGAGGUAAGUUUUCUCUUCAUACAAUCUCACAUGUGCGCGCGCGCAUGCAUGUGCGCGCGCGCGCACACACACACACACACAUCCAUCUGGUAGAGAAGUUUUGUUUUUAAAAAAUAUAUAUGAUGUGGAUUCAUAACCUUAGAUUGGCCA
rnacentral:lncRNA from 1 species